GUAGGUGGCAAGCGUUGUCCGGGAAUUAUUGGGGCGUAAAGCGCGCGCAGGCGGUUCUUUAAGUCUGAUGUGAAAGCCCACGGGCUCAACCGUGGAGGGUCAUUGGAGACUGGAGAACUUGAGUACAGAAGAGGAAAGCGGAAUUCCACGUGCAGCGGUGAAAUGCGUAGAGAUGUGGAGGAACACCAGUGGCGAAGGCGGCUUUCUGGUCUGUAACUGACGCUGAGGCGCGAAAGCGUGGGGAGCAAACAGGAUUAGAUACCCUGGUAGUCCACGCCGUAAACGAUGAGUGCUAAGUGUUAGGGGGUUUCCGCCCCUUAGUGCUGCAGCUAACGCAUUAAGCACUCCGCCUGGGGAGUACGGCCGCAAAGGCUG
rnacentral:rRNA from 1 species